UCCUCUCAGCGCCCGCCGCCGGCCGGUCCAUCCCCCGACGCUCUGAGGUCACCGACGGGGCCGGGCUGAGGUGGGCGGAGGGACAGAGGGAAGAUGGCGGCCGAGGCCGGAUAUUGGCGCCGCCUCCCCCAAUCCUGGAGCCGGCGCAGAUGAGGCGGCUCGGCUGGGGCCCGCGGCGCGUCGGAACCGGAGCAGGGGGGGACCCUGGCAGUGGGGCCUGGCCCUGAUAUAUGCUGGCGCCUCGGCUAGAGUGAGUGGCGGCGGCGCCUCUUUCCUCCGGCUCUUUCCCUGUCGCUGUGAGUCUGAGCGGGUGGCGGGCGGCCGAGGCGGCGGGGCCGGGAUGGAGGACAUUAACUCCAAUGUGAACGCGGACCAGGAGGUGCGGAAGCUGCAGGAGCUGGUGAAGAAGCUGGAGAAGCAGAACGAACAGCUGAGGAGCCGCUCCGGGGCCGUGCAGGGCGCCGGCUCCCUUGGGCCUGGCAGCCCGGUUCGGGCCGGCGCGUCCACUCCCUCCUCCGGAGCGGCGUCCCCUAGGGGCUUCCCCUUGGGCCUCAGCGCCAAGUCGGGCUGCGGGGCCGGGUCGGGCCCGAGGCGGACGAGUAGCGAGGAGCUGCGGGACACCACCUCCUUGCUGGCAGCGGGCGAGGGCGGCUUGCUGGACGAGGUGGAGCCGCUGCGGCCCGAGGAACUGGAGCGCCUGUCAGGCUGGGAGGAGGAGGAGGAGAGCUGGCUGUAUUCAUCACCAAAGAAAAAACUUACACCAAUGCAGAAAUCAGUUAGUCCUUUAGUUUGGUGCAGGCAAGUUUUGGAUUACCCAAGUCCUGAUGUUGAAUGUGCUAAAAAGUCUCUUAUCCACAAACUUGAUCAAACUAUGUCAGCUCUCAAGAGGCAGAAUUUGUAUAAUAAUCCUUUCAACUCCAUCAGUUACACAAGUCCUUACAGUCCAAAUGCCAGUAGCCCAUACAGCAGUGGUUUCAAUUCUCCGUCCUCAACCCCAGUGCGACCUCCUAUAGUCAAACAGCUAAUACUUCCUGGAAAUUCAGGUAAUUUGAAAAGUUCGUCAGACAGAAAUCCUCCACUCAGUCCUCAAUCCUCUAUAGACAGUGAAUUAAGUGCUUCAGAAUUAGAUGAAGAUUCAAUUGGAUCCAAUUAUAAGCUAAAUGAUGUAACUGAUGUGCAGAUUCUAGCUCGGAUGCAGGAAGAAAGUCUCCGGCAAGAAUAUGCAGCCACCGCGUCUCGGCGCAGUUCUGGUUCAUCUUGCAAUUCUACAAGACGGGGUACUUUUAGUGAUCAGGAACUUGAUGCACAAAGUUUAGAUGAUGAAGAUGACAAUAUGCAUCAUGCAGUAUACCCUGCUGUUAACAGGUUUUCACCAUCACCACGCAAUUCACCUCGACCAUCACCUAAGCAGUCACCCCGAAAUUCACCUCGUUCUCGAUCUCCUGCUCGGGGAAUAGAAUAUAGUAGAGUGUCCCCACAGCCUAUGAUUAGCCGCUUACAGCAACCUCGCCUUUCCCUUCAAGGCCAUCCCACAGAUUUACAGACAACCAGUGUUAAAAAUGAAGAAAAACUAAGACGCAGUCUUCCAAACCUAUCCCGAACAUCCAGUACACAAGUUGACUCAGUGAAAAGCAGCAGAAGUGACUCAAAUUUUCAAGUGCCAAAUGGAGGAAUACCUCGCAUGCAACCUCAGGCUUCAGCCACUUCGCAAAGGCUGAAAAAUUUGCCUCGUACUUCCCUCAAAGCCAAACAGUUGCUUCAAACUUCAUCUACAAAAAGAGUACCUUCUCCAGGCAAAUUCCGCUCCCCUGCAGCACCAUCUCCUUUGGCUCUCCGGCAACCAGUAAAAGCAUUUAGUAACCAUGGCUCUGGUUCUCCUGGUAGCCAAGAAACAACACAACUCAUGCAAACCACCUCCUCACCUGGGCCUCCCAUGGUUCAGAACACAGUCCCAGCAAAUCCUCCCAGCAAUAUCAACAGCACUACUCUAACCAGACCUGCAGGGACAACUGUGAUGAGAAGUGGCUUGCCCAGACCCAGUGCCCCUUCUGCUGGGGGUAUACCAGUGCCUCGCAGCAAACUUGCACAGCCUGUUCGCAGAUCCUUGCCAGCUCCUAAAACCUACAGUAGCAUGAAAGAUGACAGUUGGAAAGAUGGCUGUUAUUGACCAGCAAAGACAAGAAUGCAGAGUCCACAGCUUCAUGGAUACCCCUUCACCAGGCUAAGAGACAACUUUUAUAUGCAGACUGUUCAGAUAAGACUCUUGGGAUUUAUAAAAUCCCAGCCCUCUCUGUCUUAAUUAGCACAAACUGACAGAGAUGAUCAAGCAGCACUUUAAUGACAUUUAACAUCAGAUGUGUUUGGUAAUCAUACAAUCACUCUCCACGGAAUCACUUUUAGUUUUGUUUAAUAGAAACUAGGUUGAUUUUUUAAUAUUUGACAGAGGCCAAUAUCUGGGCAAAAAACUAAUGGAUGCCAAAGAGAAAUGCCCAUUUGUAAAUGAGAGAGUACCUUUGUGCACAAGAAACUGGUGAAUUCAAGCUAUCCAAAACUUCACAUUCAACCUAAUUUACUGUAUAAAUAGUAUCAAUAAAUAUUUGUGUUAAUGAGAAGUAAUAUUCUGACUACUUAUCUAAAAUGUUUCACUAGUGUUUCACUAGUUCUCCAGGAAACUAGAUUGAGAUGGCGGGGGGGCAGGGUGGGAAGAAACCUGGGCUAGAGAUUUAAAACAUGAUACCUAAAUUUGGAAGAAUCCUAUAAGUUAUUUUUGCAGAUUCAUUAGAAAAAUUAUUUUGUUUAAUCUUAAGUUUUGGGUGUAGCUCACAUAUCACCACCACACGUUAGUGUUACAGCAUGCAUCCAUCAUGUUGCAUUGACACAUCGGACUUCUGUGUGUUUGUUUUGAUUGCCAAAAGGGCUUAAUAUCAGUUGUACAAUCUUUCUAAACUUUAUAGCUCCUGGCUCAGGAAAGAUAGCCUUUGCUAUUGAAGCCAACUUCUUCACAUGCUGUCAUCUGUUACAGAACUAAGAGUUCUUGUUUUUAUUAACAGGUUUCCACGAUGGGAAAGAGCAAGUAGUAUGCGUGUUUAUUCUUGAUAUAAAUAACACCACCUCAGUGCUUACAACCUGGAACAAAACCAUACAAUAAAACCGGGGAGGGAAAUCUAUGCACUUACCUUACAAAAUCUCUGGGAGCAGUGUGCCCCCCACUGCGAAGUCCUUCAUCAGGAACUACUCAGCAUCUCAGCAUCAAGCCACCAUAGCUUGGAACUAUUACGUGGGCCUCUCACUGUUGUGGCCUCUUCCGUUGCAGAGCACAGGCUCCGGACGCACAGGCUCAGCGGCCAUGGCUCACGGGCCCAGCCGCUCCGCGUCAUGUGGGAUCUUCCCGGACUGGGGCACGAACCCGUGUCCCCUGCAUCGGCAGGUGGACUCUCAACCACUGCACCACCAGGGAAGCCCGCUCAUAAAUAUUUUUAAGGGAUUGUAUGAGAACUUGGUGGCCUCAUGAGGAAGAUGGUUAGAGCUGCAAGAUGGAAGGAUGCUAAAUUCUCGAGUCUCUUCCUUGAAAAGGGUUUGACUUUGACGGACCACACCCUAUAGUAACCUCACCAGAAAGGGUGCAUGAGAGGUAAGUUUUUUGAAAUAUUGCCUGUUGAAAUUCUCAUUAUCCUAGCCUGGUAAUUUAUGAAUAGUUUAACUGGGUUGAGAAUUUUAGAUCAGCAAUCCUUUUCCUUCUGAAUUAUGAAGGCAUGACUCUACUGCCUUUAAAAAAUUUUUUUUCAUUUCUGAAAAUUCUCUGCUUCUUUUUCAAAACUGCUAUGUCAUUCUCACAGUGCCUUGUUUUCUGAAGAUAUUUUAAGUUUAGUUCUUUAAACUUGGUAAGCAUAGUUUAAAGUUCAUGACUGAUCAUUCCAACAUUGAUUCUCAUUCAGGUUCAUGUUCUGUUUUCCGGUGUGUUUCCACUGCUCACUGGACAUCACCCUAGAAAAAUGAUUUGUUGUGGUUCUCUGAGUCCUUGAUUGGAUGUGCCUUCUUGCAGGGCUUUGCAUAUGUUUCUGCCAGGUGCCUAUGGGCACUGUCAGGAAGGACCACAUCAAGGUUUGAGAGCUCCUGGCCCAACCAGGUUGGAUAUAUUCUAAAUACAAUUUCACGUGAGGACCAAUCCAUGGGUACAACCUCCCUAGGACACCUUCUUUUCCUUUUCCCCCCUUUUUCCUCUGCUGUCCUCCCCCCAGGUCCCUGCGGCUCAGGGGAAGCAGGGCGAGUCUAGUUCAGGUUUGCCAUUAUUGCUCUGAUGUUCUGCUUGCCUCUCUGGCUACAAGCUCUAGUCCGAAAAGUGACCUGAGAGUUCCUAACUGCCUUUUUAUAUCUUUACUGUUUUUAAAGUGUUUUUAUUUUCAGAAAUAAAUUUUGUCCAGUUUUUCAGCAGGACGAUGGCUCAGUUUCCUGGCGUGCCAUUAACUGGUAACAGAAAUGCUCCACUGAUUUCUUGCUUCCAGUAUUACUGUUAAGAAGUCCAAAGCUAUUCUGAUUCUUGAUCCUUUAUAUAUGAUCAGUUAUUUUUUGUUGUUGCUGUUAUUUUUACUUCAUCCCUGGAAGCUCAUGUUAGUAUUGUGAAAUUUCAUAAUGUUGUGCUUUGAUGUGUGUCUGUUUUAUCCAUUGUGCUGAGCUGUCAGUGGGCCCUUUCAGUCUGCAGAUCACAUCCUUAGAUUCUAAGAAAUGUCCUUGAAUUACUUCACUAAAUAUUUACUUCACUCAGCUUUCUAUGUUCUCCUUCUAGGAAUGCCUAUUAGAUAUUUUACCUCAUAUACUGGCCCUCUGUUAUGGAUUGAUGUGUGUGUCCCCCAAAAUUCAUAGGUUAAAAUCUAAUGUGAUGGUAUUAGGAGGUGGGGUCCUUAGAAGGUAGUUAGGUCAUGAGGGUGGAGCCCUCACGAAUGGAAAUAAUGCCCUUAUAAGAAGAGACCAAAGAGCUAACUCACUCUCUUUCUGUCAUGUGAAGAUAUCAAGAAGUCUGCAACCCUAACCUGACCGGGACCAGAACCAGAACCCGACCAUGUUGGUACCCUGAUCUCGGACUUCCAGCCUCCAGAACUGUGGGAGAUAAAUUUCUAUUGUUCACAGGCCUCUCAGAGUAUGCUACUCUAUUAUAGCAGCCCAAACUGACAAAGACACUAAUUUUUGUAAUCUUUUUCUCCUAUGUUCUGCCUCUGUCAUUUUACUUUACUUUUGUAGAAAAAUUCA